rnacentral:rRNA from 1 species
GAUGAACGCUGGCGGCGUGCCUAAUACAUGCAAGUCGAGCGAACAGACGAGGAGCUUGCUCCUCUGACGUUAGCGGCGGACGGGUGAGUAACACGUGGAUAACCUACCUAUAAGACUGGGAUAACUUCGGGAAACCGGAGCUAAUACCGGAUAAUAUAUUGAACCGCAUGGUUCAAUAGUGAAAGACGGUUUUGCUGUCACUUAUAGAUGGAUCCGCGCCGCAUUAGCUAGUUGGUAAGGUAACGGCUUACCAAGGCAACGAUGCGUAGCCGACCUGAGAGGGUGAUCGGCCACCCUGGAACUGAGACACGGUCCCGACUCCGAAGGGAGGCAGCAGUAGGGAAUCCUCCGCAAUGGGCGAAAGCCUGACGGAGCAACGGCGCGUGAGUGAUGAAGGUCUUCGGAUCGUAAAACUCUGUUAUUAGGGAAAAACAAAUGUGUAAGUAACCAUGCACGUCUUGACGGUACCUAAUCAGAAAGCCACGGCUAACUACGUG